GAUGAACGCUAGCGGCAGGCUUAAUACAUGCAAGUCGAGGGGCAGGCAUGACUGGUAGCAAUACAGUUGAUGGCGACCGGCAAACGGGUGCGGAACACGUACGCAACCUUCCUUUAAGUGGAGCAUAGCCCAGGGAAACUUGGAUUAAUACUUCGUAACAUUAUGAAAUGGCAUCAUUUUAUAAUUAUAGUUCCGACGCU
rnacentral:rRNA from 1 species